UGUGGCACAUCAGACUGGAUGCGAGAGAACUUUUUGCGUGAGGCACCAGAGUUUAGUUCCUUACCAAAGGAGAAGAAACAUAACAUGCCUCACUGCCUUUCUGAAAUUUCCCGCCAGAGGAUGUGACAUCUCUCGGUGCAGAGGGAUGCAGUGAGUGUCAGGUUGCUUCUGUCUUCAAAAUUUCAAAGAUGACAGUUCACAAGAACAAGGUCAAGCAGCAGACAUUGGGCAAAACAAAGUUGCAGGCUGGCGGAGGGUGAAAAAUGACUCUCCACUGACCAGGAUGAUUGUCAAAUCCUUCGAAUUUCACUCACCAUCCAUAAGAUGACGCCAAGUGACCAACAAAAAUCAUGGCAGCUGGGGUUAAGUGCACGGCAAGGACGGUUCGAAGCAGACUCCUCUGGGCAGGGUUGAAGUCGUGCAGAAUGAGAAAAACGCCCUUCAUUAAUGAGAAGCAAAGAAGAGCCAGGCUGAGACUGUAGAGGACUGAAGUCAGGUCGUCAUCUCCGAGUCCAUUUUUCAGCUUUUCCCCAUCACCUGGUCAUCUAAUGGUUAGACGGAGUCCUGGAGAGGCUGACAAGCCACAGUGUCUUGCACCCAUUGUGAAAUUUGGUUGAGGAUUAAUGAAGAUCUAGGGGUGCUUCAGCAAAGCUGGAAUGGGGCAGAUUUUUAUUUGUGAAGGACACAUGAAUCACGCCAGGUACAACAUUAUCCUGGAAGAAAACUUGCUUCCUUCUGCUCUGUUCCCUAACUCUGAGGAUUGGGUUAUCUAGCAGGACAAUGCUCCAUGCCACACAGCCAGGUCAAUCAA